rnacentral:lncRNA from 1 species
UACGAUUAGAACUUAUCGGUUCAUGUUUGAAUUCAAUGGGAUGAAAUUCAAGUGUUUAUUUUUUAACUUCUUAUAAUAUGGCAUAUAGAUAGGGGGAGUUAUGUUUAACUCCGUCAUCAAUUGAUUGUCAUCAUCAAAAAGGGGGAGAUUGUUGAAUCUCGGAUUUUGAUGAUAAAAUCAAUUGAUGGGUUAUUUGAUCU